UAACAGCACCACAAUGCAUAUAGCUGGUAUCGAGUCUAAACAAACAUCUUUCGAGAAAUGCGUCGACCAAAUUUAAAAUAGCCCACUUGGUCGUGUGCGCUGUAUUAAUUGUAGUUUGAAACAUCGAUUAGCCAGUUUAGUUUAAACAGAAUAGAAAAUUGUGCAUCAUGCAUGUGGAUGAAUGAAUAACAAGACAUAUCCUUUGCUGUGUUUUAAGUUACAAGCGAAACAAUGUUUCUCAAGAUGGAAUUUGGACAUUUGCUUUUAGUAGUAAUUAUGUGUAUUUCCACAAUGUGUUAUACCAAAGAACUGAGGGUGAAACGAGACGCCAGGCCCAGAAGACAAAGAUUAAAUAACCAAAAUGCGAGAUCCAGACAAGCCUUACAGAACAUGUUCAGUAACGAAAAUCUCGCAGCAUUUACCCCACCCCCUCUUCUCCCGAGCGAAGUCGAAUGUCAAGUUGGAGUUGAAGAGACAGUGUUCCACGAUGGUAGAUGCAUAAGCCUUGGAAAUUCCCAAAGACAUGCAUGUCAAGGUGGGCGACAUCUAGAGCUAUACAAUAACGAGUGUGUCCGGCAGUCAGGUAGCCAGAGGACCGGGCGUAGAACCAACCCAAACAACCGAGGACGACAGGGUACAAGCAGAAGUAAUAGACAGAGGAGAAGAAAUGGCGGUCAGGGAACUAGAAAAUGAUUGCUCAUUAUUCCGCCCAACUCACAAGCCCCGACACGUUACUUGGUUUUAGAAAUGCCUGUCAAUGUAAUCAGAUUGCUACUGUAGCUAUUAUUACAUGUGUAUAAUACGUGGCCAUACACCACCAUCAAAAUGUAGAUUUACGGUGACACGACGACGGACAGUAGCCAAAAUUACUCCAGCCACAUGAAGCGCCACCCUGUGAAAUUUAAACAGAGUGAUCUCCCGUUCACUGUAAAGUCCAUUUAUUACUGUUACAUAAAUGUCGCUUUUGUAAUUCCAGUACUCAAAACAAAGGGAAAUAAUUUCAAAUAUCAUAGUUAAAUGCCCCAGUUAAAUUAUCAAUAACACUAACAGUUAAUGACAUCUAACAAUUAACUGAAAAUAUUCUUGAUCUGACCGAACUUUGGCUCAAAACAAAGUGAAAUAAUUUCAAAUAUCGUAGUUCAGAGCCCUAGUUAACUCAAGAUUUUCUCGAUCUGACUACUUAGGCUAAACCUGGUUUGUGUGUAUGACUCUAUCAACAAAUUGUGAAACAUAUAUAUGAACUAAAUAAUAAAUUAAGUGUCAUCUAUA